GGGGGCGUAGCUCAGCUGGUUAGAGCGCCACACUGUCACUGUGGAGGUCACCGGUUCAAGUCCGGCCGUCCCCG
rnacentral:tRNA from 2 species